rnacentral:tRNA from 1 species
AAAAUGGUAAGCUAAAUAAAGCUAAUGGGUUCAUACCCCGUCAAUGGAAAAAUCCCUAUUUUA